rnacentral:rRNA from 1 species
GACGGAGGAUGCAAGUGUUAUCCGGAAUCACUGGGCGUAAAGCGUCUGUAGGUGGUUUAAUAAGUCAACUGUUAAAUCUUGAGGCUCAACCUCAAAAUCGCAGUCGAAACUAUUAGGCUAGAGUAUAGUAGGGGUAAAGGGAAUUUCCAGUGGAGCGGUGAAAUGCGUAGAGAUUGGAAAGAACACCGAUGGCGAAGGCACUUUACUGGGCUAUUACUAACACUCAGAGACGAAAGCUAGGGUAGCAAAUA